rnacentral:rRNA from 1 species
UACGUAGGGGGCUAGCGUUGUCCGGAAUCAUUGGGCGUAAAGCGCGCGUAGGCGGCCCGAUAAGUCUGCUGUGAAAGUCCAGGGCUCAACCCUGGAAUGCCGGUGGAUACUGGCGGGCUAGAGUUCGGAAGAGGCAAGUGGAAUUCCUGGUGUAGCGGUGGAAUGCGCAGAUAUCAGGAGGAACACCGAUGGCGAAGGCAGCUCGCUGGGACGGUACUGACGCUGAGGCGCGAAAGCGUGGGGAGCGAACAGG